AACUUUGAUAAUUCAUUACAUUAUGUCACAAUCGUAAAUUGACAGAUUUGAUAAUUUAUAUAAAAAGACAGAAAGCAAUAUGUAAUAGAAAUUUAAAGAAAAAUAGAAAAUGCAUUCAUAGAUUUUGCAAUUAAGCUUCCAAAAGAUGAGGCAAAACAACAUAAAAUUUUAGGCAUGAUCAAACCCCAGUUUUAGAAUCGUGCUUUUCAAAAAUAUUACAACUUGUUCAAUCUACCAAGACCCCCGGCAAAUCAAGUAUGGAGUACAAGUCUAAUUCUUUAAAGUUUCCUCUGGUUCGGCACCUCAAAUGGUCAUUGUGUCGAUGCUAGUAGUAGUAACCUCCAUUGAUGUUGAUUCUUGAAUUGUUAUCAUAGGAGCAUCAAAGAUCAAUGAUUUAUCAUUUCCUAGCUUUCCAAUUGGUACACUGCUUUCCUUUGAAUCAAAAUCUUCCUCAAUAGUUA
rnacentral:lncRNA from 1 species